rnacentral:rRNA from 1 species
GAAACGACUGCUAAGACUGGAUAGGAGAUAAGAAGGCAUCUUCUUAUUUUUAAAAGACCUAGCAAUAGGUAUGCUUAAGGAGGGGCUUGCGUCCCAUUAGUUAGUUGGUAGGGUAAAAGCCUACCAAGACGAUGAUGUGUAGCCGGGCUGAGAGGUUGAACGGCCACAUUGGAACUGAGACACGGUCCAAACUCCUACGGGAGGCAGCAGUAGGGAAUUUUCGGCAAUGGAGGAAACUCUGACCGAGCAACGCCGCGUGAAUGAUUGAAGUAUUUCGGUAUGUAAAGCUCUUUUAUUAAGGAAGAAAAGAUGGUGGAAAAACCAUUAUGACGGUACUUAAUGAAUAAGCCCCGGCUAACUAUGUGCCAGCAGCCGCGGUAAUACAUAGGGGGCGAGCGUUAUCCGGAAUUAUUGGGCGUAAAGGGUGCGUAGGCGGUUUAAUAAGUUUAUGGUCUAAGUGCAAUGCUUAACAUUGUGAUGCUAUAAAAACUGUUUGACUAGAGUUGGAUAGAGGCAAGUGGAAUUCCAUGUGUAGUGGUAAAAUGCGUAAAUAUAUGGAGGAACAUCACGAGCGAAGGCGGCUUGCUGGGUCUUAACUGACGCUGAGGCACGAAAGCGUGGGGAGCAAACAGGAUUAGAUACCCUGGUAGUCCACGCCGUAAACGAUGAGUACUAGACGUUGGGUUAAACCAGUGUCGAAGUUAACACAUUAAGUACUCCGCCUGAGUAGUACGUACGCAAGUAUGAAACUUAAAGGAAUUGACGGGACUCCGCACAAGCGGUGGAUCAUGUUGUUUAAUUCGAAGGUACCCGAAAAACCUCACCAGGUCUUGACAUGCUUCUGCAAAGUUGUAGAAAUACAACGGAGGUUAUCAGUUGCACAGGUGGUGCAUGGUUGUCGUCAGCUCGUGUCGUGAGAUGUUGGGUUAAGUCCCGCAACGAGCGCAACCCUUGUUGUUAAUUGCCAUCAUUAAGUUGGGGACUUUAGCAAAACUGCCAGUGAUAAAUUGGAGGAAGGUGGGGACGACGUCAAAUCAUCAUGCCCCUUAUGACCUGGGCUACAAACGUGAUACAAUGGCUGUUACAAAGGGUAGCUGAAGCGCAAGCUUUUGGCAAAUCUCAAAAAAACAGUCUCAGUUCGGAUUGAAGUCUGCAACUCGACUUCAUGAAGUUGGAAUCGCUAGUAAUCGCGAAUCAGCAUGUCGCGGUGAAUACGUUCUCGGGUUUGUACACACCGCCCGUCA